UUCAAUGAGCGCUCCUUUUUUGGUGCUUCGACCAGUAACACGCGUGCCCUGAAAAAACAGUUCAAAUAUGUUUUUCAAAAUAUUACAAAACUUUUGGAUUGUGUAACAUGCGAGAAAUGUAAACUUCAUGGGAAAAUCCAACUUUUGGGGAUCGGAACUGCGUUCAAAAUAUUUCUUCUUCCGUCACACAUGCUCGCAGUUUCUCUAUCGAGAGACGAAAUUGUUUCUUUAUUUAACACUCUUAAAAAAUUGAGCACUUCUAUUCGCGGAUUGGACCACCUGAAGAAGUUGUACUUCCAGGAAAUUUAUCAGUCAGUUAAGCGAAUGCCGGACAGUUCUGCCUUAGAGCGACUUUCUAUUGAAAAAUUCCAGUUGAUUAUGGAGUUCAUUAUAAAAAUAGAAAAAAGAAAACUUAUUGACGAGGGGCAAAAAUCUUUAUUAGUUAAAGAACUUAUUAGUUU